GAUGAACGCUGGCGGCGUGCCUAAUACAUGCAAGUCGAACGAAACUUCUUUAUCGCCGAGUGCUUGCACUCACCGAUAAAGAGUUGAGUGGCGAACGGGUGAGUAACACGUGGGCAACCUGCCCAAAAGAGGGGGAUAACACUUGGAAACAGGUGCUAAUACCGCAUAACCAUAGUUACCGCAUGGUAACUAUGUAAAAGGUGGCUAUACUACCGCUUUUGGAUGGGCCCGCGGCGCAUUAGCUAGUUGGUAGGGUAAAGGCUUACCAAGGCAAUGAUGCGUAGCCGAAUUGAGAGGUUGAUCGGCCACAUUGGGACUGAGACACGGCCCAAACUCCUACGGGAGGCAGCAGUAGGGAAUCUUCCACAAUGGGCGAAAGCCUGAUGGAGCAACGCCGCGUGGGUGAAGAAGGUCUUCGGAUCGUAAAACCCUGUUGUUAGAGAAGAAAGUGCGUGAGAGUAACUGUUCACGUUUCGACGGUAUCUAACCAGAAAGCCACUGCUAACUACGUG
rnacentral:rRNA from 1 species